rnacentral:rRNA from 1 species
ACCGGCGUAAGGGGCAGUAAUGCAUGGGUACCUACCUUGGGGUUCGGGAUAGCCAUCAGAGAUGGUGGGUAAUACCGGAUGAUGUCGUGAGACCAAAGAUUUAUCGCCCUUAGAGGGGCCCAUGUGAUAUUAGCUAGUUGGUGAGGUAAUGGCUCACCAAGGCGAAGAUGUCUAGCGGGUGUGGGAGCACGACCCGCGCCACUCGCACUGAGACACUGGCGAGACACCUACGGGUGGCUGCAGUCGAGGAUCUUCGGCAAUGAGCGCAAGCUUGACCGAGCGACGCCGCGUGAGCGAUGAAGGCCUUCGGGUUGUAAAGCUCUUUAGUGGGGGAGAAAAGCCAGCAAUGGUGUGAUCUAUCCCAAAAAUAAGCACGGGCUAAGUUCGUGCCAGCAGCCGCGGUAAGACGAACCGUGCGAACGUUGUUCGGAAUCACUGGGCUUAAAGGGAGCGUAGGCGGGCUAUCAAGUCUGGGGUGAAAUGCCGCGGCUCAACCGUGGAACUGCCUUAGAUACUGACGGCCUCGA